UGCUAUAAUGCAGUCGAGCGACUGAUUAGAAGCUUGCUUCUAUGACGUUAGCGGCGGACGGGUGAGUAACACGUGGGCAACCUGCCUGUAAGACUGGGAUAACUUCGGGAAACCGAAGCUAAUACCGGAUAGGAUCUUCUCCUUCAUGGGAGAUGAUUGAAAGAUGGUUUCGGCUAUCACUUACAGAUGGGCCCGCGGUGCAUUAGCUAGUUGGUGAGGUAACGGCUCACCAAGGCAACGAUGCAUAGCCGACCUGAGAGGGUGAUCGGCCACACUGGGACUGAGACACGGCCCAGACUCCUACGGGAGGCAGCAGUAGGGAAUCUUCCGCAAUGGACGAAAGUCUGACGGAGCAACGCCGCGUGAGUGAUGAAGGCUUUCGGGUCGUAAAACUCUGUUGUUAGGGAAGAACAAGUACGAGAGUAACUGCUCGUACCUUGACGGUACCUAACCAGAAAGCCACGGCUAACUACGUGCCAGCAGCCGCGGUAAUACGUAGGUGGCAAGCGUUAUCCGGAAUUAUUGGGCGUAAAGCGCGCGCAGGCGGUUUCUUAAGUCUGAUGUGAAAGCCCACGGCUCAACCGUGGAGGGUCAUUGGAAACUGGGGAACUUGAGUGCAGAAGAGAAAAGCGGAAUUCCACGUGUAGCGGUGAAAUGCGUAGAGAUGUGGAAGAACACCAGUUGGCGAAGCGGCUUUUUUGGUCUGUAACUGACG
rnacentral:rRNA from 1 species